GAUCGCGUCGGAAGUGUAAUCUUGGGGCUUAACCCUGAGCGUGCUUUCGAUACGGGUUGACUUGAGGAAGGUAGGGGAGAAUGGAAUUCCUGGUGGAGCGGUGGAAUGCGCAGAUAUCAGGAGGAACACCAGUGGCGAAGGCGGUUCUCUGGGCCUUUCCUGACGCUGAGGAGCGAAAGCGUGGGGAGCGAACAGGCUUAGAUACCCUGGUAGUCCACGCUGUAAACGGUGGGUACUAGGUGUGGGGUCCAUUCCACGGGUUCCGUGCCGUAGCUAACGCUUUAAGUACCCCGCCUGGGGAGUACGGCCGCAAGGCUAAAACUCAAAGGAAUUGACGGGGCCCCGCACAAGCGGCGGAGCAUGCGGAUUAAUUCGAUGCAACGCGUAGAACCUUACCUGGGUUUGACAUGGAUCGGGAGUGCUCAGAGAUGGGUGUGCCUCUUUUGGGGUCGGUUCACAGGUGGUGCAUGGCUGUCGUCAGCUCGUGUCGUGAGAUGUUGGGUUAAGUCCCGCAACGAGCGCAACCCUUGUUCACUGUUGCCAGCACGUUAUGGUGGGGACUCAGUGGAGACCGCCGGGGUCAACUCGGAGGAAGGUGGGGAUGACGUCAAGUCAUCAUGCCCCUUAUGUCCAGGGCUUCACGCAUGCUACAAUGGC
rnacentral:rRNA from 1 species